ACAGCCUUGAGGGAGGUGUAUUUGUUGAGUCCCACAGCGCUGUGGUUGCUGUGCGGGUGUGGAAGCCCUUGUCCAGACUGCCCAUAAGCGGAGUUAUUCAGAUGGUACUGCUCUGGUGAGACACAAAGUCAGUAACGCUAAAGAUGCCUUUUUUCUUACUUUCCUGAGGGCACGCGUGUGCUCUGUGCCCAACUGACCGUCUCUCAGGUGUGAGUGGAUUUCAUGAAGACGGAUGAACAGAACCGCAGUUACAAACCUCCAACCCGAAGCCGUGACUCUGGGCGCGACAGCGGCUCUGACCCUGACGGUCCAGUCCGACGCUAAAUGGGCUGAUGUUAAUGAACAAUGGAACAAACCGGCUCAGAGAGUGAAGCCCUGGCUUCGUAUUCUCAUUAAUGAAGUCCACUGAUGCAGGCAGCGCACUUGAUGUCAGCCCCGGGGGUGGAUGGACCCACAUACAGGGCUCACAGAUGACACACACAGGAGGAUUUUUAAGGUCAUGAAACAGAAUCUGUCAUAUUUACUAUGGGUGCUUUGAAUAUGUAUCUUCUACAUUGGUCUCACUGUGGGUUUGUGUUUUUUUUAAGUACCUGGUUUUCACUGGCAUAUUGAUAUGCACAUUCACAACAGGAGAAAAUCUAUCACACGCGUGACUGAAGAUAAAGGACACAAUGGACUGUGGUUAAACACUGAUGGGAGGAACAAGAGAACGAGGAAGGAUCCAUGGACCCCUCUACACCUCUGUACCCGCCCCCACAAGCCAAUCCUUGGUCUAGAUGUCUCACUACUUUCUGAUUAGUUAAGUAGAAUAUGAAAAUACAGAAUAUAUCAUUUAUCAUAUAUAAUUGUUGUACAAAAUGUUAGUGCUUGUGUGGUGGAACACGGAUCUGGCACCAUGAUCUUUAAAGUGCAGAGCGAAAGGGCAGAAACGCGACUUAGUGAAUUAGCUAAUAACCUGAGGUGUGAUUUAGCAAAGGAUGCAGACGAGCGGCGUGAUCUGAAGAUACACAGGAAGAUGUGGUCACUUUGCUCCUCAUUACUUUGACAGAAAACUAAGAAGGGGUUAAGAAGAAACUCUGAGUUUGUAAUAGGGUCAAUACUACUCACUUUAAACAUGGGUAGGUGUUCAUAUAUAUGUAUAUGUUUUUCUUUUGAGGAUCUUUUAUUUUUUUGAGGAUCUAAAAGUAAUAAACAAUGACCUUUAAACUUUGUAA